rnacentral:rRNA from 1 species
UCGGGAAUUUUGGGCAAUGGGCGAAAGCCUGACCCAGCAACGCCGCGUGAGGGAUGAAGUAUUUCGGUAUGUAAACCUCGAAAGAAUGGGAAGAAUAAAUGACGGUACCAUUUAUAAGCUCCGGCUAACUACGUGCCAGCAGCCGCGGUAAUACGUAGGGAGCAAGCGUUGUUCGGAUUUACUGGGCGUAAAGGGCGCGUAGGCGGCGCGGUAAGUCACUUGUGAAAUCUCUGAGCUUAACUCAGAACGGCCAAGUGAUACUGCUGUGCUAGAGUGCGGAAGAGGCAACCGGAAUUCUUGGUGUAGCGGUGAAAUGCGUAGAUAUCAAGAGGAACACCGGCGGUGUAGACGGCUUGCUAGACCAUAACUGACGCUGAGGCGCGAAAGCGUGGGUAGCAAACA